ACGAUGCGUAGGGGUUCUGAGAGGAAGGUCCCCCACACUGGUACUGAGACACGGACCAGACUCCUACGGGAGGCAGCAGUGAGGAAUAUUGGUCAAUGGGCGAGAGCCUGAACCAGCCAAGUCGCGUGAGGGAAGACGGUCCUAUGGAUUGUAAACCUCUUUUGUCGGGGAGCAAAAAGGCCUCGUGAGGCCACAAGCGAGAGUACCCGAAGAAAAAGCAUCGGCUAACUCCGUGCCAGCAGCCGCGGUAAUACGGAGGAUGCGAGCGUUAUCCGGAUUUAUUGGGUUUAAAGGGUGCGUAGGCGGACUGGAAAGUCAGCGGUAAAAUCGAGAGGCUCAACCUCUUUCCGCCGUUGAAACUGUCGGUCUUGAGUGGGCGAGAAGUAUGCGGAAUGCGUGGUGUAGCGGUGAAAUGCAUAGAUAUCACGCAGAACUCCGAUUGCGAAGGCAGCAUACCGGCGCCCGACUGACGCUGAGGCACGAAAGCGUGGGUAUCGAACAGGAUUAGAUACCCUGGUAGUCCACGCAGUAAACGAUGAAUACUAAUUGUCCGGUCAGAAUGAUGACUGG
rnacentral:rRNA from 1 species